rnacentral:rRNA from 1 species
AUACGUAGGUGACAAGCGUUAUCCGGAUUUACUGGGCGUAAAGGGCGUGUAGGCGGUCUUGCAAGUCAGAAGUGAAAUUCCUGAGCUCAACUCGGGCGCUGCUUCUGAAACUGCAGGACUUGAGUGCUGGAGGGGAUAGCGGAAUUCCUAGUGGAGCGGUAAAAUGCGCAGAUAUUAAGAAGAACACCGGUGGCGAAGGCGUAUAUCAGGACAGUAUCUGCCACUGUGGCGCGAAAGCCGGGGUAGCAACCAGAAUCAUACACCCCGGUAGUCCACGCUGUAAACGAUGAUUUCUAGGUGUAGGGGGUAUAGACCCUCUCUGUGCCGCAGUUAACACAAUAAGUAUUCCUCCUGGGGAGUACGGCCGCAAUGCUGAAACUCAAAUGAAUUGACGGUA